CAAGAAAUGCACUAUCACCCUGUGAUCGAACCCAAAACAGACUUAUCAGAUAGAACGAUUUUGGUAAUAACUUAAGUAAUCCCCGGGUGAAGCUGGCCUAAACAUGUUACAAGUGUCCUAAUGCCUAACAAGGAUAACAGAGUACACAACAAACUAGGCUCAUGUGUUUUACAGUCUACAGCUGAUUAUGACAACUACAGCCUUAAUUUUGUUUACAAGGAAUAGAUGCACGGACAUCAAGCAGCCUACAGUGUGUGUUGAAAACCCUGCAAGUUGUCCUGGUUCAAGGUAACUUUCCCUACACAUAAUUUUGUUUCACAUAACAAUAUCUGGAGAAAAUGAUUGAAGAGCUAGUGACCAAGUGAACUCAGUGAAAGAAUAUGGCAACUUUUAAAUACUGCAAAAAGGAAAAUCAUAUAUCCGAGUGACGAAUUGACCUUUGCCAAGAGAGAGCCAAGCAGUAUGAAACCAGACAAUAACUUAGAAAAAGAGCAUUUAUUUUGGUCAGUGCACAAGUAUUAACAGGAAGAGAUAAAAAGAGCUGAAGAGAUGGACAAAUCAAUUAUUAUAGUUAUAGUGGUAGCAAGGAUUUAAAAAAAAACCCAUUGAAACAUUUUGCCGGAUGACUAAUCUGGAAAAAGAAAAUGCUAGAUGGCAGUAAAAAGUAGCAGUUGCCAAAAUGAAAUGUGAAUAUGCUUAACAAAAUAGAACUGUUAGGUGUGGUUCAGCCCAUUUUUUGAAACAGUUUAUUUUAAGAAAAUAAAAAUGUAUUUUACCUUUACGUAUUUGACGCGUUAUCUUUGUACGACAAUUUUUUUACUUUAUUAUUUAAAAUGUACUUGCAAGUUUAAUACUUCAUUGCAUGUUUAUAUGUUAAAUAAACCUGCAUAAAUUAAAACCAAAUUUUGUUAGUAUUUGUUAGGUUAUGAAUGAAAUUUUUCAUUUUUCUUUAGU